rnacentral:rRNA from 1 species
UACAGAGGGGGCAAGCGUUGUUCGGAAUUAUUGGGCGUAAAGGGCGCGUAGGCGGUCUGUCAAGUCGAACGUGAAAUCCCUGGGCUCAACCCAGGAACUGCGUCCGAUACUGGUUGGCUUGAAUCCGGGAGAGGGAUGUGGAAUUCCAGGUGUAGCGGUGAAAUGCGUAGAUAUCUGGAGGAACACCGGUGGCGAAGGCGGCAUCCUGGACCGGUAUUGACGCUGAGGCGCGAAAGCCAGGGGAGCAAACGGG